rnacentral:rRNA from 1 species
CACGUAGUUAGCCGUGACUUUCUCACAGGGUACCGUCACUGUCUUCUUCCCCUGCGACAACAGUUUACAAUCCGAAGACCUUCUUCCUGCAUGCGGCGUUGCUGCGUCAGGGUUGCCCCCAUUGCGCAAUAUUCCCCACUGCUGCCUCCCGUAGGAGUCUGGGCCGUGUCUCAGUCCCAAUGCGGCCGAUCAACCUCUCAGUUCGGCUACAGAUCGUCGCCUUGGUGAGCCGUUACCUCACCAACCAGCUAAUCUGACGCGAGUCCAUCCAUAAGCGAUAAAUCUUUCAAAAUUCUAUGAUGCCAUAAAAUUUCAAUAUGCGGUAUUAGUCCUCGUUUCCAAGGAUUAUCCCCUCUUAUGGGCAGGUUACUCACGCGUUACUCGCCCGUCCGCCACUUUCCACCCAACAGUUCACCCCGAAGGGAUCACAAAUGGUUUCUCGUUCGACUUGCAUGUGUUAGGCACGCCGCAGCGUCGUCUGAGCGACGCUACACUCUACG